rnacentral:rRNA from 1 species
AUGAACGCUGGCGGCGUGCCUAAUACCUGCCAGUCGAACGCUUCACUUCGGUGAAGAGUGGCGAACGGGUGAGUAAUACAUAAGUAACCUGGCAUCUACAGGGGGAUAACUGAUGGAAACGUCAGCUAAGACCGCAUAGGUGUAGAGAUCGCAUGAACUCUAUAUGAAAAGUGCUACGGGACUGGUAGAUGAUGGACUUAUGGCGCAUUAGCUUGUUGGUAGGGUAACGGCCUACCAAGGCGACGAUGCGUAGCCGACCUGAGAGGGUGACCGGCCACACUGGGACUGAGACACGGCCCAGACUCCUACGGGAGGCAGCAGUAGGGAAUUUUCGGCAAUGGGGGAAACCCUGACCGAGCAACGCCGCGUGAAGGAAGAAGUAAUUCGUUAUGUAAACUUCUGUCAUAGAGGAAGAACGGUGGAUAUAGGGAAUGAUAUCCAAGUGACGGUACUCUAUAAGAAAGCCACGGCUAACUACGUG